CGUCACGAGACUGCUGGUGGCGAGCCUCGCCUUCGCCGGGGCAUACGCGGGCACGACCGUGGAGCACGCCGGCUCCGUCCCGGGCGCGGCGGCC
rnacentral:tRNA from 1 species